ACAUGGAUUCUGGCUCUGGUAAUGGACAGGGAGCAGUCCCUGGAGACAGGGCCACACUUACCCUAAUGACAGUCUCCGGGGUCUUCAUCCAGCCUGAGCACCCUGCAUGGAGCCCGGCCUGAAGUGCUCCAGCUCAGAGGAGGAGGAGGGAGAGGCAGGCACCUUCUGUCCAACAGGAAGAAGGAACCCAAGACUGAAGACCCACAGCUAAAGAUGAUGAAACUAAGACUAAGAGAAGUUCACCAACUUGUCCAAGGCCACAACUCACAGUGGAAUCUGAACUCGGCUCCAUAUGACUCGAG